UACGAAGGGGGCUAGCGUUGCUCGGAAUCACUGGGCGUAAAGCGCACGUAGGCGGCUUGUUAAGUCAGGGGUGAAAUCCUGGAGCUCAACUCCAGAACUGCCUUUGAUGCUGGCGAGCUUGAGUUCGGGAGAGGUGAGUGGAACUGCGAGUGUAGAGGUGAAAUUCGUAGAUAUUCGCAAGAACACCAGUGGCGAAGGCGGCUCACUGGUCCGGUACUGACGCUGAGGUGCGAAAGCGUGGGGAGCAAACAGG
rnacentral:rRNA from 1 species